rnacentral:rRNA from 1 species
UACGGAGGGGGCUAGCGUUGUUCGGAAUUACUGGGCGUAAAGCGCACGUAGGCGGCUUUGUAAGUUAGAGGUGAAAGCCCGGGGCUCAACCCCGGAAUUGCCUUUAAGACUGCAUCGCUUGAACGUCGGAGAGGUGAGUGGAAUUCCGAGUGUAGAGGUGAAAUUCGUAGAUAUUCGGAAGAACACCAGUGGCGAAGGCGGCUCACUGGACGACUGUUGACGCUGAGGUGCGAAAGCGUGGGGAGCAAAC